CCUACGGGAGGCAGCAGUGAGGAAUAUUGGUCAAUGGACGAGAGUCUGAACCAGCCAAGUAGCGUGAAGGAUGACUGCCCUCUGGGUUGUAAACUUCUUUUAUAUGGGAAUAAAAUGUUCAAUGUGUGGGAUUUUGUAUGUACCAUAUGAAUAAGGAUCGGCUAACUCCGUGCCAGCAGCCGCGGUAAUACGGAGGAUCCGAGCGUUAUCCGGAUUUAUUGGGUUUAAAGGGAGCGUAGGUGGAUUGGUAAGUCAGUUGUGAAAGUUUGCGGCUCAACCGUAAAAUUGCAGUUGAUACUGGCAGUCUUGAGUACAGUAGAGGUGGGCGGAAUUCGUGGUGUAGCGGUGAAAUGCUUAGAUAUCACGAAGAACUCCGAUUGCGAAGGCAGCUCACUGGACUGCAACUGACACUGAGGCUCGAAAGUGUGGGUAGCAAACAGGAUUAGAUACCCCUGUAGUC
rnacentral:rRNA from 1 species